CCUACGGGGCGCAGCAGUGGGGGAUAUUGGACAAUGGGGGAAACCCUGAUCCAGCGACGCCGCGUGAGUGAAGAAGUAUUUCGGUAUGUAAAGCUCUAUCAGCAGGGAAGAAAGAAAUGACGGUACCUGAGCAAGAAGCCCCGGCUAACUACGUGCCAGCAGCCGCGGUAAUACGUAGGGGGCAAGCGUUAUCCGGAUUUACUGGGUGUAAAGGGAGCGUAGACGGCAGGGCAAGGCUGGAGUGAAAGCCCGGG
rnacentral:rRNA from 1 species